rnacentral:rRNA from 1 species
GACAGAGGUGCCAAGCGUUUAGGCGGAAUCACUGGGCUUAAAGCGUGUGUAGGCGGAUUUGUAAGUACCUUGUGAAAUCCCAUGGCUCAACCAUGGAACUGCUCGGUAUACUGCGAAUCUUGAGCCACUUAGGGGCUACCGGAACAAAUGGUGGAGCGGUGAAAUGCGUAGAUAUCAUUUGGAACGCCAAUGGUGAAAACAGGUAGCUGGGGAGUGUGCUGACGCUGAGACACGAAAGCCAGGGGGAGCGAACGGG